UUGCACAGAACCCACUGCUGUGACAUGUGUAGGCAGCAGGCCUCAUCCCGGGGAACAGCCCGGCAACCUGGGAGCCAGCAUUUCUGAGCCACUUGCAAGCAGAGCGGGCACACCCACAGGUGCGCUGCCCACCUAGGAAGCAGAGCAGGGCGGGAUGGCCGCCUUCCCCUUCACUGCUUGGGAAUCUUGCCAUCCGUCCAGCAGGGUGGCUGGGAAUACACCAACAGUGGUGAUUUUUCUGGCACUGACGACUGUUGGGGUGAGCCGUGGGCUGCUCUGUAUUCAGCUCUCCUGCCGAAUAGAAUUCAGCCGAUGUCUCUGAAGUGCCAAUGCCCAGCGCAGAGCAGCUCCGUUCCACAUCAGUCGCCCACGCCGCUCUGGGCUCUUCCUCAGUGACGGGGAGGAAUGAGGGGAGAGUCUGCUGAGCAUUUGCUUCCUUGCUGUCCACGAAAUAACAGCAAAUAAGUACAAGAAAGAGAGAGAGAGAGACAGCAAGAAUUACAGCCUGUAUGGAAGACGACUCUAAAUAACGAUGAUAAUAUUGGUGGAAUCAAAGCAUCUAGAAGACCAUGCAUUCCAUUUUAAAUCUAGUUGAGAUGGCAUCAUUCAUACCUCCUCAAAUCUGGACAAUUACAAAUGACUCAACCAGCAGGUGCCAAAUUCCACCGAUACCCUGAGUAUGCCUGAAGCAACCACCUAAACCCAAGCUAAUAGCCAGACGUAUGCUCACUGAAUGGAUAACUUACCUAACCUUGAGAAGCUCCUUAAAGUACUCUCCUGAUCUUCUGGCAAAUAAUUCAGCAAACAUCUUUCGUUGCUUGAGAAUGCCCUGGGAGGCCUCCUCCUUAUCCUCAGUAAGCUUGUCAGUGUGUUUCUUCCAAGUACAUACAGCACUUUCUCAAAGAGAUCUAACAAAAUAAAAACUUUCCUCUUCUCAUUA